CCUACGGGAGGCUGCAGUGGGGAAUAUUGCUCAAUGGGCGAAACCCUGAAGCAGCAACGCCGCGUGAAGGAUGAAGGUUUUCGGAUUGUAAACUCCUUUUGUUAGAGAAGAUAAUAACGGUAUCUAACGAAUAAGCACCGGCUAACUCCGUGCCGGCAGCCGCGGUACUACGGAGGGUGCAAGCGUUACUCGGAAUCACUGGGCGUAAAGCGCGCGUAGGCGGGAUAGCAAGUCAGAUGUGAAAUCCUAUGGCUUAACCAUAGAACUGCAUUUGAAACUGUUAUUCUAGAGUAUGGGAGAGGUAGGGGGAAUGCUUGGUGUAGGGGUAAAAUCCGUAGAGAUCAAGAGGAAUACUCAUUGCGAAGGCGACAUGCUAGAACAUAACUGACGCUGAGGCGCGAAAGCGUGGGGAGCAAACAGGAUUAGAUACCCCGGUAGUC
rnacentral:rRNA from 1 species